GUGGCCUAGUGGCUAGAGCUUCCGUCUAAAAUGCCGAAGGUUGCGGGUUCGAACCCCGGCCAAGUCA